GUGCUCACUUUGGCAGUAUAUAUACUAAAAUUGGAAUGACACAGAGUAGAUUAACAUGACCCCUGCACAAGAUGACAUGAAAAUUCAUGAAGUGUUCCAUACUUUU